ensembl:misc_RNA Metazoa_SRP Metazoan signal recognition particle RNA
GCCGGCAGGCCUAUAGUCCCGGCUCUCCCGGAGGCUGAGAUGGGAGGGGCGCUCGAGUCCAGCAGUUCUGGGCUGUAAGCGCGCUAUGCCCAUCUGGGGUCCACACUAAGUUCGGCAUCAAUGUGGUGACCUCCUCAAAGACGGGACCACCAGGUUGCCUAAGGAGGGUGAACUGGCCCAAGUCGGAAACAGAGCAGGUCAAAAUUCCCGUGCUGAUCAGUAAAAAGCUAACUGGGUCUCUUGAGUGUUUGCGAGGCUGCUACUAAGUCUCUG